AAGUGGCGAAAGGGGCAGUAAGGCAUGGAUAACCUACCUCGGGGAUCGGGAUAGCCUUCCUAACGGAAGGGUAAUACCGGGCGAGCUAACGAAGGGGCAUCUCUUUGUUAGGAAAUGAAUUUCGCCUUGAGAGGGGUUCAUGUAGUAUUAGCUUGUUGGUGGGGUAACGGCUCACCAAGGCCAAGAUGCUUAGCGGGUGUGAGAGCACGACCCGCGCCACUGGCACUGAGACACUGGCCAGACUCCUACGGGAGGCUGCAGUCGAGGAUCUUCGGCAAUGGGCGCAAGCCUGACCGAGCGACGCCGCGUGUGCGAUGAAGGCCUUCGGGUUGUAAAGCACUGUCGAGGGGGAGAAAAGCCCGCAAGGGUCUGAUCUAUCCCUGGAGGAAGCACGGGCUAAGUUCGUG
rnacentral:rRNA from 1 species